UAGGGAAUCUUCGGCAAUGGGGGGAACCCUGACCGAGCAACGCCGCGUGAGUGAAGGAGGUUUUCGGAUCGUAAAGCUCUGUUGUUAAGGAAGAACGAGUGUGAGAAUGGAAAGUUCAUGCUGUGACGGUACUUAACCAGAAAGGGACGGCUAACUACGUGCCAGCAGCCGCGGUAAUACGUAGGUCCCGAGCGUUGUCCGGAUUUAUUGGGCGUAAAGCGAGCGCAGGCGGUCAAUUAAGUCUGAUGUGAAAGCCCCAGGCUCAACCGGGGAGGGUCAUUGGAAACUGGUUGCCUUGAGUGCAGAAGAGGAGCGUGGAAUUCCAUGUGUAGCGGUGAUAUGCGUAGAUAUAUGGCGGACCACCAGUGGCGAAGGCGACUCUCUGGUCUGUAACUGACGCUGCGGCUCGAAAGCGUGGGUAGCAAACAGG
rnacentral:rRNA from 1 species